GAAUGAGGUCCUGGUGCACUCUCACCUUUCAAAGAGAAUCCUUCCCAUCAGCUUCACUCCUGCUCAAAGCUUGCAAAGCAGACAGGUCCUCAGAAGCCUUGCCAAAAAUAUCCUAAGUCCAAAGUUAUUUUUAAAAGGUGCGAAAGUCAAGAAAAAUCCAAGUGAAUCCAAGGCAGUGGGUAGUCCUGGCCACAGAGAUCCCAGAGACAGAGGUGAUGAUGG